rnacentral:rRNA from 1 species
AUGCAACCGCCCCCGGAGUCCACCGGCGACGCGCUCGCGGAGUGCUUCCGCCUGUUGGAUGAGCUCCCAGCCGCGGCAGCUUUGUCUCCGGCCUUCCGCCGCCACUGGCCUUCCAUCUCCGCCUCCCUCUCGUCGCUCUCGGCCUCCCUCUCCCACCCCACCUUCCCGCCCUCCGCACCGCUCCUCGAGCCCCUCGCCUCCGCGCUCUCGGCUCUCAUGUCCGUCUGCAGCGGCCCUCCCCUCGGCCACCUCCACACCGUCUCGCUUCUCUCCUCCUCCGCCGCCUCGCUCUCCCAGCUCGCAGCCGACGCGCGCCUGCUCGUCUCCCCGGCCGAAGGCAACGGGUCCGAGUCCGACGGCCUGCUCUCCCGCCUCCGGCUUGGCUCGUUCGUCUCCCGCGCCGCGGCGCUCGACUCGCUCGCCGAAUCUGUCCGGUCGUCCCAGCCGGGGUCGUGCUCUGCCGCUGCUGUGUCUGCGGUCGCCGCGAUGCUCGACUCCGGCGACCUCCUCCCAGCCUCCCGCGACAAGGCCGUGUCCGUGCUGGCCGCGUUCGCGUCCUCCGAGGCCACGUGCCGGUUCUUGGCUCAGGAGUCGGGCACCGUCGUGCCGCACCUCUGCCGCGCGCUCGAGUCCGGCGGUGCCAGCGCCGAGCAGGCGUGCGUCGCACUGGAGUCUCUCACCGCCUCGUCGCGGGACGCAGCGGCGACCGUCUCGGCGCGCGGUGGCGUGGCCGCGCUUCUCGUGGCCUGUGCAGCCGGCACCCCGUCGUCGCAGGCCGCGGCCGCGGGCGUGCUCCGGAACAUCGCCGCGUUCCCGGACCUGCUCCCCGCGUUCAGCGAAGAGGGCGCGAUCCCCUUGCUCGUGCAGCUCGUCUCGCUCGGCACCCCGCGGGCGCAGGAGCACGCGCUCGGCUGCCUCCGGAACGUAACGGCCAGCGACGGCGGCGAGGGUCAGAGCCUCAAGGUCGAGGCGUUCCAAGCAGGCGCCCUGGCGUGCGUCAAGGACUUCCUGGACUCAUGCCGCGGCGACGAGCCGGGCCUGGCGCCGGCGUUCGGGCUGCUCCGUAACAUGGCCUCGUUCCGCCUCAUCGCGGAGAUAGCCGUGUCCGCCACCUUCCUCAGCCACGUCGUGGCCGCGCUGGGCAGCGACGAGGCCAACACCCGCACGGAGGCCGCCAUGGCGCUGGCGGAGCUCUGCCACAUCAGCAGCGGCAAGGCGAGGGGGGAGGUCGGGGACGCGAUGCCGAGGCUGGUGUGGAUGCUGGAGGCCAAGGCCGUGGCGGAGAGGGACGCGGCCGCGAGGGCGCUGGCCACGCUGGUCGCCGCGAGCAGCAGCUACCGGGCGCUGUUCCGGAAGGAGGAGAUGGGGAUCGUGAACGUGGUCCGGCUGCUGGACCCGGCAGUCCGGGGCGGCGACAAGCGGUUCUCCGUGUCGGUGCUGCUGGGCGUGUCGCAGUCCCGGCGGUGCCGGAAGCAGAUGGUGGCCGCCGGCGCGUGCGGGUUCGUGCAGGCGCUGCUGGCCGCCGAGGUGGACGGCGCCAAGAAGCUCUCCGAGUGCCUCGGCCGGGGCAAGAUGCUCGGCGUGUUCCCCCGGACAUGA